GUGACGAGCGGCGGACGGGUGAGUAAUGUCUGGGGAUCUGCCCGAUGGCGGGGGAUAACCACUGGAAACGGUGGCUAAUACCGCAUAAUGUCGCGAGACCAAAGUGGGGGACCUGAAAGGGCCUCACGCCAUCGGAUGAACCCAGAUGGGAUUAGCUGGUAGGUAGGGUAAUGGCCUACCUAGGCGACGAUCUCUAGCUGGUCUGAGAGGAUGACCAGCCACACUGGGACUGAGACACGGCCCAGACUCCUACGGGAGGCAGCAGUGGGGAAUAUUGCACAAUGGGCGGAAGCCUGAUGCAGCCAUGCCGCGUGUAUGAAGAAGGCCUUCGGGUUGUAAAGUACUUUCAGCGGGGAGGAAGGGUUUAGCCUGAAGAGGGUUGGACUUUGACGUUACCCGCAGAAGAAGCACCGGCUAACUCCGUGCCAGCAGCCGCGGUAAUACGGAGGGUGCGAGCGUUAAUCGGAAUGACUGGGCGUAAAGCGCACGCAGGCGGUCAAUUAAGUUAGAUGUGAAAUCCCCGGGCUCAACCUGGGAAUGGCAUCUAAGACUGGUUGACUGGAGUCUCGUAGAGGGGGGUAGAAUUCCAUGUGUAGCGGUGAAAUGCGUAGAGAUGUGGAGGAAUACCGGGUGGCGAAGGCGGCCCCCUGGACGAAGACUGACGCUCAGGUGCGAAAUGCGUGGGGAGCAAACAUGGAUUAGAUACC
rnacentral:rRNA from 1 species